AGAUCGAAUGCAGUGCGAAAACUUCCACAUCAGGGAAAGAGACAGAAUUGCAUGAAGAAUCAUUGGUGACUGAGAUUGAAUGCAGUGCGAAAACGUCCAUGUCAGGGAAAGAGACAGAAUUAUGUGAAGAGUCAUCAAUGGCAAUGAUUGAAUGUGGUUCGAAACACUUCCACAUCAGAUAAGGAGAAAUGUCAGCAUGAAGUACACAGUGCUGUUUUUUCCAGUUUGGAUUUGUGCGAUGAUUGAUUGUAGUGGUUCCAUGUCAAGUAGAAAGUGGCUGACUUCAACUUGCAAAUACACCAACUCAAGGACAGUUAUUAUAAAAACAUGGAGCAGACUGAAGUGAAUGCAGUCAUAAAACAUUUUAAAGGGACACCUCACCACAAAAGCACAGUGUGAUCAAUGCAAGAAAGCAGAAGACCAUGUUCUUAAAGAAAGAAGAAAAAUUAAAUGACUUUGUGAGGAACAGAGGUUUGCAGAUAAAUAAAAGAAAUGUUGGAGUGCAUUUCAACAAAGAAAAGCAAAAACUGCUUUUAAACGGUUAGUUCAUCCAAAAAAUUA